rnacentral:tRNA from 1 species
UGGAGCUCAGUGGUAUAGCACUUGCUUAGCAUGCAUAAAGCCCUGGGUUUGAUUCCCAGCA